rnacentral:lncRNA from 1 species
CCAAAAUGACGGUUGCCCAGUGAGUUGUCUUAUGUUCCAUGUGACAAUGGGAAGACUACCAGCCUCAGAAUUGAGGCAGUGCUUGGACAUCCGGAAUCAGGUACGAGGAUUUUGGCAUGAUGGAAAAACCCCAGGUGGGCCCUCUGAAUAGACUGUGUCCAUGGGGCAGCUAUAACAGGGUGGUAAAGAUGGUGGUACCUGAGAGGAUUGGUGAAGAGGAGGAAUCAUCAAAAAUGUUCAAUUCUGAACAUCAAGAGGUCACACCACUGCACAUCCGUGAAUGGUCUGCGACUCUGUCCAUUAAACACACAUGUGCAAAGACUCACACAUUGCUG